GUCCGUCGGUCUGAGGAUGGUAGGCUGUGCUCAUGUCCAGCCUUGUUCCUAGGGAAUGUUGUAGUGAUUGCCAAAAUCUUGAGGUGAACCUACUAUCUCUAUCGGAGAUAAUGGACAUAGGUACACCAUGUAGCCGUACGAUUUCCCUAAUGUAUGUUCUCGUAAGCUUCUCCAUCUUGUCAGUUUCUUUGAUAGGCAAGAAGUGUGAAGACUUGGUUAAUCUAUCAACGAUGACCCAUAUGGUAUCUAGUCCACUCGUUGUCUUGGGCAACUUGGUUAUGAAAUCCAUAGUGAUACGCUCCCACUUCCAUUCUGGAAUCUCUGGUUGUUGCAGUAAACCAGAGGGAUUUUGAUACUCGACUUUAACCUUUGCGCAAGUAAGGAAUUUACUUACGAAGGUAGCAAUCUCUGCUUUCAUAUUAGGCCACCAGUAUAGCUUUUUAAUAUCCAGAUACAUCUUAUCUGAACCUGGGUGGACGGAAUACCGAGUGUUGUGCGCCUCGGUCAUGACCAAGUCUCGGAAACCACCGUGUUUCGGUGUCCAGAUCCGGUUCAUGAAAUAUAAGGCUCCGUCACCCUUGGCUUCUAAAUUCUUGUCCAUUCCUCUAAGGGAUUCACUCGUCACAUUUUCAGGUUUCAUGGCCUCAAGUUGAGCCGCCUGAAUUUGCUUAGACAAGUGUGAAUGGAUGGUUAUUGAUAAUGACUUGACCUUGCGACGAGAAUAUUGCUUCCAACUUAGGGCGUCUGCUACUACGUUGGCUUUACCCAGAUGAUAACGAAUAUCGCAUUCGUAGUCACUGAGUAGCUCGACCCACCGUCGUUGUCUUAAAGUCGUAAGGGUGUUUAGGGUACAUUUUGCCCUUGAAAAAGGGGUUUACGGCCCAAGAGUUAUCCUUGGCCGUAAACNUUUUUAAUAUCCAGAUACAUCUUAUCUGAACCUGGGUGGACGGAAUACCGAGUGUUGUGUGCCUCGGUCAUGACCAAGUCUCGAAAACCACCGUGCUUCGGUGUCCAGAUCCAGUUCAUGAAAUAUAAAGCUCCGUCACCCUUGGCUUCUAAAUUCUUGUCCAUUCCUCUAAGGGAUUCACUCGUCACAUUUUCAGGUUUCAUGGCCUCAAGUUGAGCCUCCUGAAUUUGCUUAGACAAGUGUGAAUGGAUGGUUAUUGAUAAUGACUUGACCUUGCGACGAGAAUAUUGCUUCCAACUUAGGGCGUCUGCUACUACGUUGGCUUUACCCAGAUGAUAACGAAUAUCGCAUUCGUAGUCACUGAGUAGCUCGACCCACCGUCGUUGUCUUAAAGUCGUAAGGGUGUUUAGGGUACAUUUUGCCCUUGAAAAAGGGGUUUACGGCCCAAGAGUUAUCCUUGGCCGUAAACUCCUAAAACUCCAUGAUUUUGAAGUGUUUUGGUGUCCAAAUUAGCUACAAGCAUUAGAGGGUAAAUGUCUUUAAGCUUUAUGGGAGAUUUAGGGAACUUAUAGCCCUUAAAAAGGGGUUUACGGCCCAGGAGAUAUCCUUGGCCGUAAACCCCUAUAUCUAGUGGUUCUUGGUUGAUUUCUAGCCUCAAAAGAUCCUACAAUAAGUCCUAAACUAGUUGUCUAACAAGGAAUUGGGACUAGGAAGCUUUUAGGCCUUGUUUUGGAGUUUACACCCCAAGAACGUUCUCGGGCCGUAAGCUCCCGGAUCUUGCAUAUUAGGCAUGUAAAUGAUGUUAUAAAGCAUAUAACAAGUAAUAUAACACAUCUAGGGAAGUAGACUCACAAUCUGGGAUGAAAACCCGAAGAUCCGUGAGAGAGAAAAUGGCUUUUCUCUAUUUGGAAAUGUGAAUAAUGAAUUAAUUUAAUUCAGAAAUCUAUUUAUAGUCCUGAAAUAUUUUGACAGAAAAUAUUUUUAUUCUGGAAAUUGGACUAUAACAUUAUGAAACUUGGAAUGCUCAAAUUUCACAAACCCAGGAGCAUCCACUCUCCUGAUAUCUCCUUAAACGUAAACCCUAAUGUACAGAACUUAUUCGGAAAAGUAUGAAAUUCACUGAAACUGGACUAGCUUCUAUUGAAUAGAUAAAGUUCGUACAAAUGCAAAUUUCGGGUUGUCACAUCGUCCCGAAAUUAGAAUUUAAGCAAAUACGAAGUUAUAACAAUUAAGCGAAAAGAUGAGGGCAUUUCAGCUUCAUCUGAUCCUCGCGUUCCCAAGUGAAUUCCGGUCCUCGCUUGGCGUUCCAGCGAACCUUCACGAUAGGGAUACGGCUUUGUUUCGUCUGCUUGACCUCACGGUCCAUGAUCUCUACAGGUUCUUCCACGAAGUUGAGGCUCUCGUUGAUCUCGAUCUUGUCGAGUGGGAUUAUGAGAGUCUCGUCGGACAGACACUUUUUCAAGUUAGAUACGUGGAAUGUAGAAUGUACGUUACGAAGUGUGUCGGGUAGAUCGAGUUUGUAAGCUACGGGGCCAACUCUCGCAAGAAUCUCGAAAGGCCCUAUGUACCUAGGAUUAAGCUUCCCACGCUUGCCGAAGCGUAUCAAGCCCUUCCAGGGUGAGACUUUGAGGAGGACUCGGUCUCCCACCUGAAAUUCCAAAGGUUUUCUUCGUUUAUCAGCGUAGCUCUUCUGUCGGUCUCUAGAGGCUUUCAAUCACUCACGGAUCUGAACGAUUUUCUCUGUCGUUUCCCGAAUGAUUUCCGGACCGGUGAGAGUACUGUCGGAAGCUUGCCCUCUUGCUAAUUGGGUAUCACCCACCUGAGCCCAGCACAGCGGGGAUCUGCACUUUCGGCCGUAGAGAGCGNAGCUUCAAAUGGAGCAGCCUUGAUGCUCGUGUGAUAACUGUUAUUAUAGGAAAACUCGACAAGGGGUAAAUGAGUAUCCCAUGCCUUCCCAAAGUCAAUCACGCAGGCUCGCAACAUAUCUUCCAGUGUUUGGAUGGUCCUCUCACUCUGUCCGUCGGUCUGAGGAUGGUAGGCAGUGCUCAUGUCCAGCCUUGUUCCUAGGGAACGUUGUAGUGAUUUCCAAAAUCUUAAGGUGAACCUACUAUCUCUAUCGGAGAUAAUGGACAUAGGUACACCAUGUAGCCGUACUAUUUCCCUAAUGUAUGUUCUCGUAAGCUUCUCCAUCUUGUCAGUUUCUUUGAUAGGCAGGAAGUGUGCAGACUUGGUCAAUCUAUCAACGAUGACCCAUAUGGUAUCAAGUCCACCCGUUGUCUUGGGCAACUUGGUUAUGAAAUCCAUAGUGAUCCGCUCCCACUUCCAUU
rnacentral:lncRNA from 1 species